CCUACGGGAGGCAGCAGUGGGGAAUAUUGGGCAAUGGGCGCAAGCCUGACCCAGCAACGCCGCGUGAAGGAAGAAGGCUUUCGGGUUGUAAACUUCCUUUUAGAGGGAAGAGCAGAAGUCGGUACCUCUUGAAUAAGCUAUGGCUAACUACGUGCCAGCAGCCGCGGUAAUACGUAGGUGGCAAGCGUUGUCCGGAUUUACUGGGUGUAAAGGGCGUGCAGCCGGGAAGACAAGUCAGAUGUGAAAUCCCGCGGCUCAACCGCGGAACUGCAGUUGAAACUGUUUUUCUUGAGUACCGGAGAGGUCAUCGGAAUUCCUGGUGUAGCGGUGAAAUGCGUAGAUAUAAGGAAGAACACCAGUGGCGAAGGCAGAUGACUGGGCGGCAACUGACGGUGAGGCGCGAAAGCGUGGGGAGCAAACAGGAUUAGAUACCCUUGUAGUC
rnacentral:rRNA from 1 species